rnacentral:rRNA from 1 species
CCUACGGGUGGCAGCAGUGAGGAAUAUUGGUCAAUGGACGAGAGUCUGAACCAGCCAAGUAGCGUGAAGGAUGAAUGCCCUAUGGGUUGUAAACUUCUUUUAUAUGGGAAUAAAAUGUUCCACGUGUGGGAUUUUGUAUGUACCAUAUGAAAAAGGAUCGGCUAACUCCGUGCCAGCAGCCGCGGUAAUACGGAGGAUCCGAGCGUUAUCCGGAUUUAUUGGGUUUAAAGGGAGCGUAGGGGGAUUGUUAAGUCAGUUGGGAAAGUUUGCGGCUCAAACGUAAAAUUGCAGUUGAAACUGGCAGCCUUGAGUACAGGAGAGGUGAGCGGAAUUCGUGGUGUAGCGGUGAAAUGCUUAGAUAUCACGAAGAACUCCGAUUGCGAAGGCAGCUCACUGGACUGCAACUGACACUGAGGCUCGAAAGUGUGGGUAUCGAACAGGAUUAGAUACCCCAGUAGUC